GUAGCCUGGGUAGGGUUACCUGGUUUAAAGCUGUUUUUAUUCUGCACAACAGCCUGUUGCGGUUGCUUUCGGAGACUGUGCAAUAAUACAUUUGGAUCAUGGACUCAUCCACCUCGUUCAAAGUGAUAAAGGGCAUGAAACCCCAAAGGCCAGAAUUAAUGUCAAACGGCAACGGACCGAAACGGGUUCCUGUGUCUCACCAUUCGCAAGGCAUUCAGAAGCCCGUAGUCACACCGACUCAGCAUCAGCGGGUUCUGGGCAUGUCGAAUGGGCCGCAGCGUAUCCAGCGGCCUGUUAGCCAGCAGAAACCAGUGCCUCAUGUCUCUGUAGCGGUCAAGCACCCUCCUCCUGCUGACCAGAAUGUAAACCCAGCCACUGUGAAACUAACUCCAGCACCACAGCCAAAACCCGUUUCCCAGCAUAACCAGCCAAAGACGCAUGUGCCAGCUGGCCACUCUGACUCGACCAAGCCUCCGUCGGAACCAGCAAAGCAGGAGAAGCCGCAGACCAAACCUGCCAAGACCAGUCAGGCCUCGUCAUCAAAGAAACCAUGGAGCCUGGAAAAUUUUGACAUUGGCCGUCCCUUGGGAAAGGGCAAGUUUGGCAACGUCUACCUGGCUAGGGAGCGCCAGACAAAGUUCAUCUUGGCCCUGAAGGUUCUCUUCAAGAAGCAGCUGGAGAAGGCGGGGGUAGAGCACCAGCUGAGGAGAGAAGUCGAGAUCCAGUCUCAUCUGAGACAUCCCAACAUCCUUCGCCUCUAUGGCUAUUUCCACGAUGCUUCCCGUGUGUAUCUCAUUCUUGAAUAUGCACCCAGAGGAGAGCUGUACGGCGAGCUGCAGCGCUGUGGGAGUUUCUCUGAGGACAGAACUGCAACAUACAUCAUGGAGCUGGCAGAUGCGCUCCACUACUGUCAUACGAAGAAUGUGAUUCACAGAGACAUCAAGCCAGAGAACCUGUUGCUUGGAGGUAAUGGGGAGCUGAAGAUUGCCGAUUUUGGUUGGUCUGUUCACACUCCAUCUUCCAGGAGGUCCACCCUGUGUGGGACACUAGACUACCUUCCUCCAGAGAUGAUCGAGGGCAAAACUCACGAUGAAAAGGUGGACCUGUGGAGUCUGGGGGUCCUUUGCUACGAGUUUCUUGUUGGAAAACCCCCGUUUGAAGCAAAAACUCACGAUGAAACCUACCGUAGGAUUUCAAGGGUGGAGUACAGUUACCCUCCACUUGCUUCCAUUAGUGCCGGAGCUAGAGACUUGGUGGCCAAGCUGCUGAAGCACAACCCCAUGCACAGGUUGCCCAUUGAGGGAGUCCUUUCCCACCCCUGGGUGCUCGAAUGCUCAACAAAGAAGCCUACAACGCUGAGCUCUGAAGAGUCCAGUCAGUGACUGUUCUCCCAACAACUGGCUGUGCCUACACAGUUUUGCAGAACGUUAACAUGCAGCUGAUUUUUCCACAACCUGCUUUGACUCUACAAAGAUUUUCACAAUGAGGAUUUUUUUUACCUUUUAGGACUUGAAUUGGACUGAGCAGCUGAUCAAAUUCAAGUACAGUUGUGCCCAGCAGAGGGCGCCAGACAACCACUGAAACAGAUUUUAUUUUUUAAAUAGUGUUUAUAUGAGUUGGUUUAUUUUUGAAGAUAAAAUCGACAGAAGCCUUUUUCUUGUUUACAAAAUGGAAAUGAAAACAAAUCUAGGUAAUGAAAGAUGGUUUCAUCAGUGGAUUUUAAAGUGUUUUAUAGUUUUAUUGGGUGGGGGGGGGGCUGAGGGGGGAGGCUAAAGCAAACUAUGUUGAUGGUCUUAACACAUUUAACUGGAACAGGAAAACACUCCUGUUAGUUUUUCAUCUGUUUUCUUUGCAUAUGCAUAAAUAAGUGUAUUCUAUAUUCUAAUAAGUGUAUUAAGCAUUCUCGUGUUUAAUAUUUGUUUUACAGCAGCACCGCAUCCAGUCUAGAAUAAUUCCACUUAAGAUGGACUGAUCUAUUUUUAUUUUAUUUUUAUUUUUUUGAUGGAUGGUUUUAUGCAGUACCUGUGAAGGGAAAAAAAUGUUUGAAGGAAAAUGUUUAAAAACCAGCACUUGAUGCACAUUCUAAAUCAG